rnacentral:miRNA from 10 species
UGUCAAGCAGAUUAAGUAUUG